rnacentral:lncRNA from 1 species
UUAUUUCCCAACCAGCAAAAGUUAGUUGUAUAGAAGGCCAUAGAACGUUUUGUAAAAACUAAUCGAUGGUCAAAUAAAAGGCCAAAGAAGGUGCACCUACAAAGAAAGUGGCGCAAUUAUAUCUCCAUUCAGUCUUAAAGUACAACUAUAACGAUAUCAGGCAUGACAAUUUGGGCCCGUUGCAGUGAUGUAACAGUAACGCAAUCUCUAUAUUUGGUGACAUACAAGCCACAGCAACACUACUAAACACUUUUUAAGAACUGUAGAAGAGUUCAUGAAUCCAUUACGAUAUUCAUCAUUCAUUCAUUUUACAUUCGUUCACUCUGCUGCAGUGUUUUAUUGAGAAGAGAAAAAAGAUAAAUCAGAAGAGACGAGGAGACCGUCUGUAAUGUUCUGCAAAAUGGUAGUCAUUAUAGACAUCGAUAAGUUUUUGACUCGUGACGACUUCAAGCUACUUGCGGAAGUGGAAUGGCCAUGGGAAAUUACACAUUUUCUGUUAAAUAAGAAUUGUGUUAACUGUGGUUUACAUACCAAUUCAUCUUUACCAAGGCACUUCAUCAUGCGCAAAAAAUAUAUGAUAUCUUUACCAAGCUUCAUUUUUUUCUGGUGUCGGGGCUGCGGUAUUAUGUCUAUUUAUGACCACUAUAUCCCUGAUGAAUGUUAUUAUUGUGAUUAAUUAUUCUUCCUAUUGGCUAAAACUUUUCGUACUACAAAUCCAUUAGGUAUUUUACUAUUUAUUAAUUGUAGAAAAAUUAAAAUAUCUCUUAUUAAUUACGUUGUUUUGAAGUUUACAUAGCAAGGCAAGCAUUAAAUCUACGUACCUACA